rnacentral:lncRNA from 1 species
AUGCAGAGGAGGCUGGAGCUCAGAGCCAUCUUGCUCUUUGCUGGCUUUGACGUUGGGUGGAUUCUCUUUUUAAUACAAACUUCCGCCAUUUGUACAUAACCAAUAAAAGUUACAUUUCUCUCUCUCUUCCCACGUUCUGUCCAGUCCACGUCUUGACUCGUAGCGCUUCUUAUUCCCCAUCAGCUCCUGGGGGCAGUUGGCUGGAACUCUUCCAGUUUCACAGAGCGGCCGUUCUCGUCCCGUGCCCCUUUGGAUGUCUCCUUUGUGCUCGCCUGCAGCAGACAUAACGCGGAGCACUUGCAAGGAUUGCCAGGCACUAAUCUCCAGCCGUGUUCAAUUAAUCCUGCUUCAAGCCAACAGUGAGUAAAGCUCCCCAGGCCAGGACAGCCUUGCAGCUGGAGCCAGAGCGCUGCACAGGCUUUUACCUCAAUGCCGAUGAAAGCUGAGUACAGUUAAAAACCUCAAGUCCUUUGCUUGCAAAGGACAAAGCGGGGUGGUGGCCCAGCAGCCACUGUCCUUAUGGUGGCUGAAGGUAGAGGAGGAGAACUGCUAAUCCCCGGCGCGGCCUCGUCACCAAGAGGAUUAGGCAGGCAUUUAGUGAUCCCGAGCAAGGGGCUGAAGGCACAGCAGCAGGCACGAGGAGCAGCAGCUCCACAGCCACGUCCUGCUCCCUGCAGGGCACAGGCAGCUCUCCCUGCACCUCCUGCCCGGGCUGGGCUGCGCUGCCAGGAUCCCCAUGAGGAAGCAGCACAGACCAGGGGUGCCGUGGUGGAGGCAGCUCCUGCGCACUGGGUGCUGGCAGCUCCUGUCCCUCUCCAGGACGGCUCUGCAGGGGCUGCAGUGGCUCUGGAGGCUGCUGUGGUACCUUCUGAUCUGCUCCACGAGCUGCUGGGACAUCGCCUUCCAGUUUGCUGAGGAGCUGCUGAGCGUGGACCAUGGCACUGAGGGCAGUGAGGAAGAGGAGGACGGGACAGCUGCUGCCGCACUGGAGCCCGGGCAGACAGUGCUGGAGCUGCAGCAGCUGCGUGAUGCCAAUGAGGCCGCGCUGGGGAGGUUGGAGGCGCUGGAGGCCGACGUCCGCUUCCUCUGCACUGAGCUGGGGGCUGAGAAACUGCUGUGGAGCAGUCGGUUCCUGGAGCUGCUGCGGGAGCAGCAAGGGCUGCGGCAGCGGCUCCUGCAGAGGGACAGCAGAGACAGCCCUGAGCUGCCCGGAGAAGCCGAGGAGCUGAAUGGGAAUGAGGGAGAGGAUCCUGCAGGUAGAGCUGGGGACAUGGGGUUGCAGCAGGGGACCAGGGAGCUGGUGUUUGAGGACAGGGCACCCAGCCCCUGCACCCCUCCAAAGGACUCCACUGGAUGGAGCAGCACUGACAGCCCAUCCCAUGCCCAGGCAGCUUCCAGUAGCCCAUGGCUCUGUCCCAGGCAAGAGCUGUAA